UACGUAGGGUGCGAGCGUUAAUCGGAAUUAUUGGGCGUAAAGCGCACGUAGGCGGUUUGUUAAGUCGGAUGUGAAAUCCCUCGGCUCGACUGAGGAAGUGCAUCCGAAACUGGCAGGCUUGAGUACUAAAGAGGGUCGCGGAAUUCCCGGUGUAGAGGUGAAAUUCGUAGAUAUCGGGAGGAACACCGGUGGCGAAGGCGGCGACCUGGGUAGAUACUGACGCUGAGGUGCGAAAGCGUGGGGAGCAAACAGG
rnacentral:rRNA from 1 species